rnacentral:rRNA from 1 species
GGUCCUUUGGAUCAUGGCGAACGGCUGAGUAACACGUGGGUAUCUGCCUCUAUCUGGGGAAUAACCCGCCGAAAGGUGGGAUAAUACCCCAUGUGCUCUUCCAGUUUACUGGUAAGAGUAAAGGGUGGUCCUUUGGAUCAUUCCGGUUAGAGAUGAGCCUGCGGCCUAUCAGCUUGUUGGUGGGGUAAUGGCCUACCAAGGCUAUGACGGGUAGGGGGCGUGAGAGCGUGUUCCCCCAGAAGGGCACUGAGAUACGGGCCCUACUCCUACGGGAGGCAGCAAUCGGGAAUCUUGCGCAAUGGGCGAAAGCCUGACGCAGCGACGCCGCGUGGAGGAAGAAGCUUUUCGGAGUGUAAACUCACAUUAAAAAGGACCGGCAAACUACGUGCCAGCAGCAGCGGUCAAACGUAGGGUCCAAGCGUUAACCGGAAUCAUUGGGCGUAAAGAGUUCUGUAGGCGGUAUGAUAAGUUGUGUGUUAAAUGCCCUGGCUCAACCAGGGAAAUGCUCACAAUACUGUCAAACUAGAGGAAGGUAGGGGCAAGCGGAACUUAUGGAGUAGGGGUGAAAUCCAUUGAUACCAUAAGGAACACCGAGGGCGUAGGCAGCUUGCUGGGCCUUUCCUGACGCUGAGAGACGAAAGCGUGGGUAGCGAAACGGAUUAGAUACCCGUGUAGUCCACGCUGUAAACGAUGGAUACUAGAUACCUGUCCGCCUUUGGCGAGGUGGGUGUCGAAGCUAACGCGUUAAGUAUCCCGCCUGGGGAGUACGGCCGCAAGGCUAAAACUCAAACGGAAUUGGCGGGUGCCCGCACAAGCAGCGUCGCAUGUGGUUUAAUUCGAUGUUAACCGAAGAACCUUACCCAGGCUUGACAUGCCCGUCGUAUCCCGGUGAAAGCCGGGAGUCAGUUCGGCUGGACGGUGCACAGGUGUUGCAUGGCUGUCGUCAGCUCGUGCCGUGAGGUGUACGGUCAAGUCCGUCAACGAGCGCAACCCCUACUAUAUGUUGUAUCACUCAUAUGGAACUGCCCGGGUAACCGGGAGGAAGGUGGGGACGACGUCAAGUCGGUAUUGCCCUUAUGCCUGGGGCUACACACAUGCGGUAAUGGCGUAUACAAAGGGUCGCAAACUCGUAAGGGUGAGCUAAUCCCACAAAGUACGUCUCAGUUCGGAUUGGGGUCUGCAACUCGACCCCAUGAAGUGGAGUUGCUAGUAAUCGUGGGUCAGCUAUACCACGGUGAAUACGUUCUCGGGCAUUGCACACACCGCCCAUCAGUCCAGGAAAGUUGGAACGACCCAAAGUCUGAGGUUUACCUCGGCCUAAGGUAGGGCCAGUGAUCAGGGAUAAGUUGUAACAAGGUA